GAUGAACGCUAGCGGCAGGCCUAACACAUGCAAGUCGAGGGGUAACUAGAGUGAUAGCAAUAUUACUUUGGCUAGACCGGCGCACGGGUGCGUAACACGUAUGCAACCUACCUUAUACUGGGGAAUAACUUCGAGAAAUCGGCGCUAAUACCCCAUAACAUUGCGAAGAGGCAUCUCUUUGCAAUUAAAGCUCCGGCGGUAUAAGAUGGGCAUGCGUCCAAUUAGCUAGUUGGUGAGGUAACGGCUCACCAAGGCUACGAUUGGUAGGGGUUCUGAGAGGAUGAUCCCCCACACUGGUACUGAGACACGGACCAGACUCCUACGGGAGGCAGCAGUGAGGAAUAUUGAGCAAUGGACGAAAGUCUGACGCAGCCAUGCCGCGUGCAGGAUGCCGGCCCUAUGGGUGGUAAACUGCUUUUGUACGGGAAUAAACCCUUCUACGUGUAGGAGGCUGAAGGUACCGUAAGAAUAAGCACCGGCUAACUCCGUGCCAGCCGCCGCCGUAA
rnacentral:rRNA from 1 species